GCUUAUUCUCAGGGCGGGGCGAAAUUCCCCACCGGCGGUAAAUCAGCUUCUGUGCUGAAAGCCCGCGAGCGCUUCAGGCUCUGUCUGAAGGUCAGCAGAUCCGGUGUGAUUCCGGGGCCGACGGUUAAAGUCCGGAUGGGAGAGGGUAACG
rnacentral:ncRNA from 2 species